AGUAUUCUGUACCAGGGAAGGU
rnacentral:miRNA from 3 species